CCUACGGGGGGCUGCAGUGGGGAAUAUUGGACAAUGGGGGCAAGCCUGACCCAGCGACGCCGCGUGAGGGAAGAAGGCUUUCGGGUUGUAAAGUUCUAUUAGCAGGGAAGAGCAGAAACCGGUACCUCUUGAGUAGGCCACGGCUAACUACGGGCCAGCAGCCGCGGUAAUACGUAGGGGGCAAGCGUUGUCCGGAUUUACUGGGGGUAAGGGGGGGGCAGCCGGCAAGACAAGUCAGAUGUGAAAUCCCGCGGCUCAACCCCGGAACUGCAUUGGAAACUGUUUGUCUUGAGUACCGGAGAGGUCAGCGGAAUUCCUGGUGUAGCGGUGAAAUGCGUAGAUAUAAGGAAGAACACCAGUGGCGAAGGCGGAUGACUGGACGGUAACUGACGGUGAGGCGCGAAAGCGUGGGGAGCAAACAGGAUUAGAUACCCUGGUAGUC
rnacentral:rRNA from 1 species